UACGUAGGGUGCGAGCGUUGUCCGGAAUUAUUGGGCGUAAAAGGCUCGUAGGCGGUCUGUCGCGUCGGGAGUGAAAACUCAGGGCUUAACCCUGAGCCUGCUUCCGAUACGGGCAGACUAGAGGUAUGCAGGGGAGAACGGAAUUCCUGGUGUAGCGGUGGAAUGCGCAGAUAUCAGGAGGAACACCGGUGGCGAAGGCGGUUCUCUGGGCAUUACCUGACGCUGAGGAGCGAAAGUGUGGGGAGCGAACAGG
rnacentral:rRNA from 1 species